GAUGAAGAACGUAGUGAAAUGCGAUAAGUAAUGUGAAUUGCAGAAUUCAGUGAAUCAUCGAAUCUUUGAACGCACAUUGCGCCCCUUGGUAUUCCGAGGGGCAUGCCUGUUCGAGCGUCAUUAUAACCCCUCAAGCUCAGCUUGGUGUUGGGGCCUGCUGCACUGGCAGCCCUUAAAAUCAGUGGCGGCGCCGUCUGGCUCUAAGCGUAGUAAUUCUUCUCGCUAUGGAGUCCUGGUGGAUGCUUGCCAUCAACCCCCAAUUUUUCUAUGGUUGACCUCGGAUCAGGUAGGGAUACCCGCUGAACCUAAGCAUAUCAAUAAGCGGAGGA
rnacentral:misc_RNA from 1 species